GAUGAACGCUAGCGGCAGGCCUAACACAUGCAAGUCGAGGGAGAAGCCCUUUCGGGGGCAGAAACCGGCGCACGGGUGCGUAACGCGUAUGCAACCUACCUUUCACAGGGGGAUAGCCCGAAGAAAUUUGGAUUAAUACCCCAUAAUAUUAUUGGAUGGCAUCAUUUGAUAAUUAAAACUGCGGUGGUGAAAGAUGGGCAUGCGUCCUAUUAGCUAGUUGGAGUGGUAACGGCACCCCAAGGCUACGAUAGGUAGGGGUCCUGAGAGGGAGAUCCCCCACACUGGUACUGAGACAGGGACCAGACUCCUACGGGAGGAAGCAGUGAGGAAUAUUGGUCAAUGGUCGGAAGACUGAACCAGCCAUGCCGCGUGCAGGAAGAAUGCCUUAUGGGUUGUAAACUGCUUUUAUAUGGGAAGAAUAAGGCGUACGUGUACGUUGAUGACGGUACCAUAUGAAUAAGCAUCGGAUAACUCCGUG
rnacentral:rRNA from 1 species